UACGGAGGGUGCAAGCGUUGUUCGGAAUUAUUGGGCGUAAAGGGCAGGUAGGUUGUCUGAUAAGUCUACUGUGAAAUCCCCGGGCUUAACCCGGGAAGUGCGGUAGAUACUGUCAGACUAGAGUACUGGAGGGGUUCGUGGAAUUCCUGGUGUAGCGGUGAAAUGCGUAGAUAUCAGGAGGAACACCAGAGGCGAAGGCGGCGAACUGGACAGUAACUGACACUCAACUGCGAAAGCGUGGGGAGCAAACAGG
rnacentral:rRNA from 1 species